GCCAUCUGGCAUACCGGGCAUCGUCCCGGUGGGCCGUUGACCCAAUGUGGGCCGGUCCGGUCCGCUAUGUUAUUUUGUUUUGUUUUUUUCCUCUAAAUUCCCUCCAAUUGGGCCGAUUGGCUACAGAGGGCUAGCAGUGUGUUGCCAGCAUCGACACAUAUUAUUGGUCUAUUGUUUGUCAUUGUCAAUCAAUCAUGGGCUGACAGGCUCAGAGAGCCCUGACAGUGCUGUCAAUCACAACACAAACCAGGGUGGGCGGGACCUCAUGGCAUGGGCGGGAGUCGCGGGACGGGCUGCUGCUGAGCUGAAGAUGGAUAAGCGGAAGAAACGCCCGGGUGGCGCUGAAAAACUGCGACUUAAAAAGCUGAAGUCUCUGGAGGUGGAGGCUGCUAAAUAUUCUAAACUGACGGACCUAUUUGGUGCCGGGGUCACCGGUCCAGCAGGUGCUGCUGCUCCGGGAGACGAGCGAGUGGAGACAUAUAUGAUGAUUUAGCUAAGAGCUGCUAACAUCAGCAGUCUCUUGUUGCCAUAGCAACAGUAAACAUUCACAUGGACCAAUGAGCUGUUGACCACCCUAUAUAUGAGAGCCUAAGGAGUUGUUUUCCCUCUGUCCCCUUUUGAGGACCUCCUUUGUCUCCUCCAUCAUUCACUGGGCCACUUUUGGGUUCCUGAGCUCAUUUCAUGUGGUUUUCCUGACCUGCUGGAAGUUCUUCUAUGAUGCUUGAGUCAUCCAUCAUAUCUGAGAGCUUCGUCUUGACUUUGUCAUGAAUUUGGUGAGGAGCGAAGCUGGCUGGCUGCGGACGAGGAAGUAGGGCAAUACAUACUUGUGCACAUACACGUAUAUGAGAAUGCAUAUCUAUUCAGACCUGUAACCCAUGUCUUAGACUUUUUCACACAGCUAUAUAUAUAUAUUUUUUUCCAAUUCUCUAUUUAUGGUUUCAUAAUGACUGAGUCACCGUUGAGUGAGUGAGUUUCAGCUCUAAUGCUGCUACUGUCUGUAAUAUGUUUCUAUUUAGAUUAUUUGUCAGGAUAUUUUUUUGUUAUUAUUGUCCGAGUCUGGUUUUAACUAAUGCUGGGCUUACACCAAAAGAUUUUCACAGUCACAGACUAAAAACUGAAAGGGUAGCAUAAAGGUUCUUCCCGUUAGUCUCGUCCCACCCCUAGUCAUGACAUAACUUCUGUUAUGAUUUGACACUAUAAUGAAUAAAGAUUGAUUGAUUGAUUGCUAUAGCUGUCAAUUUUAGUCCUUGAGUUCAUAGUUAAGUGCUUUAUUUGUUAACUGCUAUCAAGGAGUAUGACUCUCCUUUGUAGUAUGCAUGAGAGAAGAUGCCGCGAGAUUAGUGGACUUCUAUGUAGUGUCCGCUGAUAAUGUAGUGGGCUGGUCUGGACAGAAAAUGCCAGGGCUGAAUUUUUGUCCCAGUCCACCC